CGUGAUGUAGAUUAAUAUCACCUUUUCCUUUUCUAUUUUUAAUUUCUUUUUAUUCUUAUUUUUCCGCCCCCAUGCCCCGAUGUGAGUCGAUGACCUGUACCGGGUGAGCUAUUCCCCGUAAAAAAUAACAAUAAAAAUAACAAUAAUAAUAUAAACAAUUGAAAUUGAAAAAUUGAAUAAUAAUAUUGUGAGAUAUCUUUCGUUGAGGGAGGCCUUAUAUAAAAUUAUUAAGGCAUUGGCGAAUAACACAUAGUGAAAAAAAUUACACAAUUUAAGAUAAUUAAUAAUAUUAUAUAAUAUUAUAGAGUAACUUUAUCAUUUUUAGACCGUUUAAAAAAUAAAUAUAAGGUAAAUACUAUUCCCUGACACUGGGAGCGUUGGCUCUACUGUCCCCCAUGUAAACACAGCAGCUGAGUUGUAACUUGAGAUGUUACAACAAAACUUGGGGAAAUUGAGCUGCUCCAUAACAGCUGAAAAUGAUAACUGGCGCAUCGAACGAAAGCUGUCACCAGCACUAUCACCAAUGCCACCACCACUACUAGCACCACCACCUAUGGCAAGAUGAGUAACGACUAAACCCUUGAGAAAUUAACAACUGGAUCAUGGAAACACUGCUGUUACAGGCCAGGGUAGCAGCACACAGUAGUCCAGAGCAGGGCAGCAGCACACAGAGCAGAGCCGUCCAGUACAACAGCACGCACAAAGCACAGUCGUCCAGGGGAGCGGCACACACAGAGCAGAGCCGUCCAGGACAGCAUCAUGCACAGAGCAGAGCAGUCCAGGGCAGCAGCACACAUAGCAGAGCAGUCCAGGGCAGCAGCAUGCACAGAGCAGAGCCGUCUAGGACAGCAGCAUGCACAGGGCAGAGCCGUCCAGGGCAGCGGGCAGCAGCCAGCAUGCACAGGGCAGAGCCAUCCAGGGCAGCAGCCAGCAAGCAAGCACAGGGGAGUCCAGGGUGGCAGUAGCAAGCAAGUACAGGGCAGUGGCCAGUAAGCACAGUCUAGGGCAGCAUGGCACUCCAGUGUUCAGAACAACAUUUCUGUACAAAAUAAAAUGUAAAAUUAA